rnacentral:rRNA from 1 species
AACGCUGGCGGCAUGCUUAACACAUGCAAGUCGCACGAACCUUUCGGGGUUAGUGGCGGACGGGGGAGUAACGCGUAGGGAUCUAUCCACGGGUGGGGGAUAACUUUGGGAAACUGAAGCUAAUACCGC